UGCCUUUGUGUUGCCCAUUCAUUACUUUCUACAGUGAAUGUGGUGUCAGAAAAGGCAUACAUUAAUUCUAGCUGUCAUGUGUUCAAGAGUGGAUUAUGUACCUUCUCUGCAUUUCAGCUAGAACAUAA